AUAGAGUUAUUAAUAUUUAUAUGAUAUGCGACUACAUGAGAUGGCUAUCGAGAUUGUAUUUUGCUAGGAAGAUUAAUUGUAGACUAUGCUCAACCUAAAUGCUCUACAAUUCUGCCACGUCAGCCAUUUCAAAGCAUAAACAACUGCCACAUAGGAAGGGGUCUUUUUUUAAUUAAUAUAAAAUACAGGUUAUAACUAUUUAAAAGAUCCUCAAUUAAUAUAUAGGGGAUAUACAAAUUUUCGGUGUAUUUGUAUACGUUCUACUUUCUGUUUUUAAUAGCAACGAAAAAGUUGGAGCAUCUCUUACAUAUGUGUAUUUUUUUUUUUGGUAAAAACAUAUGUAAUUAUGCUAUUUAUUUGUCUAGAUGAUAGCAAUGCAGAAGAAAUGGUAAAAAUGUUCUCCAUUGGGAACAGAAGAGGCAGAAAAAACAAUGUAGUAUAUAAUUUAGAAGAAAACGAGACGAAAAACUCGAAAACAAUGUUUGAUUGUACCAUACAACAUACUAUUGCAUUUUGGUUCUUUUAUUAUAUAAAUAUAUUAUCCACCG